CAGCAGUCGCGGCAACACAAGGAAGACAAGUGUUAUUCAUCUUAAAUCGGUUUAAAGGGUACCUAGACGGUGAAUUAGGCAUUAAAUGGAACGUUUUUACUAGAGUUAUAUAUGCAUGAGGACUGUGUGAGUAUUACCAGAGUAGAGAUGUAAUUUUUUGAUACUGUUAAGACUGGUAAAGGCAAAAGCAAACCUUUAUAUAUUAACUGACGUUGAGGGACGAAGGCUUGGGGCGCAAACAGGAUUAGAUACCCCAGUAGUCCUGGCAGAGAAUUAUGAAUGUCAUAGAAUAGAUAUAAUAUUUAUCCUAUAAAUGAAAGUGUAAGCAUUCCACCUCAAGAGUAAUGUGGCAACGCAGGAACUGAAAUCAUUAGACCGUUUCUGAUACCAGUAGUGAAGUAUGUCGUUCAAUUUGUUAACCCUCAAAAAACCUUACCACAAUUUGAAUAUAUUUAAUAGAUAUAUAUUUUUAUAUCUUUAUUUAUACAAGCGUUGCAUUGUUGUCUUCAGUUAAUGUUGUGAGAUUUUGGUUAGAUUCAUUAAAUUAACGUAAUCCUAUAUUCUAUUUAAAUAUUAAUAGAUUAGUUCACCGCUAUAUUGGAUAUUGAUAACCGGGAGUAAGACUAGUCGUAAUGACCUUAAUAUUGUGGGCAAUGAGACGUGCCACA
rnacentral:rRNA from 1 species